rnacentral:rRNA from 1 species
GAUGAACGCUAGCGGCAGGCUUAACACAUGCAAGUCGAGGGGCAGCACGGGUAGCAAUACUUGGUGGCGACCGGCAAACGGGUGCGGAACACGUACAGAAUCUACCUUUAUCUGGGGCAUAGCCCGAAGAAAUUCGGAUUAAUACCCCAUAAUAUAUUUAAGUGGCAUCACUUUGAAUAUUAAAACUCCGGUGGAUAGAGAUGACUGUGCGUCCCAUUAGCUAGNGGUAGGGUAACGGCCUACCAAGGCGACGAUGGGUAGCUGGUGUGAGAGCACGACCAGCCACACGGGCACUGAGACACGGGCCCGACUCCUACGGGAGGCAGCAGUGAGGAAUAUUGGUCAAUGGACGCAAGUCUGAACCAGCCAUGCCGCGUGAAGGAUGAAGGCGUUCUGCGUUGUAAACUUUCUUUUAUCUGGGAAGAACCUACGUAUUUCUAUUGUAGCCGACGGUACCAGAGGAAUAAGCACCGGCUAACUCCGUGCCAGCAGCCGCC